GUAGGUGGCAAGCGUUGUCCGGAAUUAUUGGGCGUAAAGCGCGCGCAGGCGGUUCUUUAAGUCUGAUGUGAAAGCCCACGGCUCAACCGUGGAGGGUCAUUGGAAACUGGAGAACUUGAAUACAGAAGAGGAAAGCGGAAUUCCACGUGUAGCGGUGAAAUGCGUAGAGAUGUGGAGGAACACCAGUGGCGAAGGCGGCUUUCUGGUCUGUAACUGACGCUGAGGCGCGAAAGCGUGGGGAGCAAACAGGGAUUAGAUACCCUGGUAGUCCACGCCGUAAACGAUGAGUGCUAAGUGUUAGGGGGUUUCCCGCCCCUUAGUGCUGCAGCUAACGCAUUAAGCACUCCGCCUGGGGAGUACGGCCGCAAGGCUG
rnacentral:rRNA from 1 species